AUACGGAGGGUGCAAGCGUUGUUCGGAAUUACUGGGCGUAAAGCGCGCGUAGGUGGUCUGUUAUGUCAGAUGUGAAAGUCCACGGCUCAACCGUGGAAGUGCAUUUGAAACUGGCAGACUUGAGUACUGGAGGGGGUAGUGGAAUUCCCGGUGUAGAGGUGAAAUUCGUAGAUAUCGGGAGGAAUACCGGUGGCGAAGGCGACUACCUGGCCAGACACUGACACUGAGGUGCGAAAGCGUGGGGAGCGAACAGGAUUAGAAACCCUAGUAGUCC
rnacentral:rRNA from 1 species